ACUUCCUUGGCAGAAUAGUGCAUUAAAUUUAGAAUUUAAAAUAUAUAUAUUUAUAAAUUAUAGGUAGUA
rnacentral:tRNA from 1 species